rnacentral:ncRNA from 1 species
GAAAGGCCGUGAUACAUACCGCACGGCUGGAUACCGGGCGUAUCCCAAUUAGG